rnacentral:pre_miRNA from 1 species
AAAAUACUCCCCCCGUCCGGAAAUACUUGUCCUAGAAAUGGAUGUAUGUAGACUUAUUUUAGUUAUGAUACAUCCAUUUUAUUCAUUUUUAGGACAAGUAUUUUCGGACGGAGGGAGUAAUUA